CCUACGGGAGGCAGCAGUGGGGAAUUUUGCGCAAUGCUCGUAAGAGUGACGCAGCGACGCCGCGUGAAUGACGAAGGCCUUCGGGUCGGAAAGUUCUUUCGACAGGGAAGAAAAUGCCUAUAAGUAACUGCGUAUGUAUUGACGGUACCUGUAUAAGCAGCCCCGGCUAACUCCGUGCCAGCAGCCGCGGUAAUAAGGAGGGGGCGAGCGUUGUUCGGCGUGACUGGGCGUAAAGGGCACGGAGGCGGUGUUGUAAUUCAUUAGUCAAAGACUAGAGCUCAACUUUAGUAAGGCUAGUGAUACUAUAAUACGAGAGUAGGAGAGAGGAUUGCAGAAUGCCUGGUGUAGCGGUGAAAUGCGUAGAUAUCAGGAGGAAUACCGUUAGCGAAGGCGGCAAUCUGGCUGGAAACUGACGCUGAGGUGCGAAAGCGUGGGUAGCGAACAGGAUUAGAUACCCCAGUAGUC
rnacentral:rRNA from 1 species